rnacentral:tRNA from 1 species
GGGGAGGUGGCAGAGUGGUCGAAUGCGAGCGCCUGCUAAGCGCUUGAGCGGGCUUUUAAUCCGCGCCCGGGGUUCGACUCCCGGCCUCCCCGCCA